AUUGAACGCUGGCGGCAUGCUUUACACAUGCAAGUCGAACGGCAGCACGGACUUCGGUCUGGUGGCGAGUGGCGAACGGGUGAGUAAUACAUCGGAACGUGCCCAGUUGUGGGGGAUAACUACUCGAAAGAGUAGCUAAUACCGCAUGAGAACUGAGGUUGAAAGCAGGGGAUCGCAAGACCUUGCGCAACUGGAGCGGCCGAUGGCAGAGUAGGUAGUUGGUGGGAUAAAAGCCUACCCAGCCGACGAUCUGUAGCUGGUCUGAGAGGACGACCGGCCACACUGGGACUCAGACCCGGCACAGACUCCUCAGGGAGGCAGCAGUGGGGAAUUUUGGACAAUGGGCGAAAGCCUGAUCCAGCAAUGCCGCGUGCAGGAUGAAGGCCUUCGGGUUGUAAACUGCUUUUGUACGGAACGAAAAGCUUCGGGUUAAUACCCUGGAGUCAUGACGGUACCGUAAGAAUAAGCACCGGCUAACUACGUGCCAGCUGCCGCCGUAAAAC
rnacentral:rRNA from 1 species